UUAACACAUGCAAGUCGUACGAGAGUUUUUAACUCAAGUGGCGGACGGGUGAGUAACACGUGAGAAUUUACCUUUAGGAGGGGGAUAACAAUUGGAAACGAUUGCUAAUACCCCAUAUGCUUUUUUAAGUGAAAUGGAUUUUUCCGCCUAAAGAAAAGCUCGCGGCUGAUUAGCUAGUUGGUAAGGUAAUGGCUUACCAAGGCGACGAUCAGUAUCUGGUUUGAGAGGACGAUCAGACACACUGGAACUGAGACACGGUCCAGACUCCUACGGGAGGCAGCAGUGGGGAAUUUUCCGCAAUGGGCGAAAGCCUGACGGAGCAAUACCGCGUGAGGGAAGACAGCCUACUGGGUUGUAAACCUCUUUUUUCAGGGAGGAAAAAAAUGACGUGUACCUGAAGAAUAAGCAUCGGCUAACUCCGUGCCAGCAGCCGCGGUAAGACGGAGGAUGCAAGUGUUAUCCGGAAUUACUGGGCGUAAAGCGUCUGUAGGUUGUUU
rnacentral:rRNA from 1 species